GGGCCCAUAGCUCAGUGGUAAGAGCAGGCGACUCAUAAUCGCUCGGUCGCAGGUUCGAAUCCUGCUGGGCCCA
rnacentral:tRNA from 1 species